GGCAAGCAUGUGAGUGUAAGCGAAUCCCAAAAAUAACGUCUCAGUUCGGACUGUAGGCUGCAACUCGCCUACACGAAGUCGGAAUCGCUAGUAAUCGCGGAUCAGCAUGCCGCGGUGAAUACGUUCCCGGGCCUUGUACACACCGCCCGUCACACCAUGGGAGUUUGUAACGCCCAAAGUCGGUGGCCUAACCUUUAUGGAGGGAGCCGCCUAAGGCGGGACAGAUGACUGGGGUGGAAGUCGUAACAAGGUAGC
rnacentral:rRNA from 1 species